rnacentral:rRNA from 1 species
UACGUAGGUGGCAAGCGUUGUCCGGAAUUAUUGGGCGUAAAGAGCAUGUAGGCGGGAAUCUAAGUCUGUUGUGAAAAUGCGGGGCUCAACCCCGUAUGGCGAUGGAAACUGGAUUUCUUGAGUGCAGGAGAGGAAAGGGGAAUUCCCAGUGUAGCGGUGAAAUGCGUAGAUAUUGGGAGGAACACCAGUGGCGAAGGCGCCUUUCUGGACUGUGUCUGACGCUGAGAUGCGAAAGCCAGGGUAGCGAACGGGAUUAGAUACCCCGGUAGU